rnacentral:rRNA from 1 species
UCGGGAAUUUUGGGCAAUGGGCGAAAGCCUGACCCAGCAACGCCGCGUGAGGGAUGAAGUAUUUCGGUAUGUAAACCUCGAAAGAAUGGGAAGAAUAAAUGACGGUACCAUUUAUAAGCUCCGGCUAACUACGUGCCAGCAGCCGCGGUAAUACGUAGGGAGCAAGCGUUGUUCGGAUUUACUGGGCGUGAAGCGCACGUAGGCGGAUCGAUCAGUUAGGGGUGAAAUCCCGGGGCUCAACCCCGGAACUGCCUCUAAUACUGUCGGUCUGGAGUUCGAGAGAGGUGAGUGGAAUUCCGAGUGUAGAGGUGAAAUGCGUAGAUAUUCGGAGGAACAACAGUGGCGAAGGCGGCUCACUGGCUCGAUACUGACGCUGAGGUGCGAAAGCGUGGGGAGCAAACA